rnacentral:tRNA from 1 species
GAGGGGAUAGCUCAGUGGCAGAGCGCAUGCUUAGCAUGCAUGAGGUCCUGGGUUCAAUCCUCAGUACCUCCA